GAUGAACGCUAGCGAUAGGCUUAACACAUGCAAGUCGAGGGGCAGCACAAGGUAGCUUGCUAUCUGGGUGGCGACCGGCGCACGGGUGCGUAACGCGCAUGCAACUUGCCCUAUACAGGAGGAUAACCCGUCGAAAGACGGACUAAUACUGCGUAUGCUCACAACUUGGCAUCAAGUGGUGAGGAAAGAAAUUCGGUAUAGGAUAGGCAUGCGUCCCAUUAGCUUGUUGGUGAGGUAACGGCUCACCAAGGCAACGAUGGGUAGGGGAACUGAGAGGUUUAUCCCCCACACUGGUACUGAGACACGGACCAGACUCCUACGGGAGGCAGCAGUGAGGAAUAUUGGUCAAUGGGCGCGAGCCUGAACCAGCCAAGUCGCGUGAAGGAUGACUGUCUUAUGGAUUGUAAACUUCUUUUAUACGGGAAUAACAAGAGUCACGUGUGACUCCCUGCAUGUACCGUAUGAAUAAGCAUCGGCUAACUCCGUG
rnacentral:rRNA from 1 species